rnacentral:lncRNA from 1 species
UGUCUGUUUGUUUUAUGCUGUUCUAUCUUUUAUCGUUGUGUAUUUUAUCUCUGUCUGUAAAGUGUCCUUGAGUGUUUAAAAAGGUGCUGGUGAAAUAAAAUGUAUUAUUAUUAUUAUUAUUAUUAUUAACAUUGAAGCCAGCCUCUAUGUGCUCAGAAAUAUGGUUGCCAUGGUGUACGAAACCAUGCAUGCUCAUGAUCAAACAUACAAUGUCAGGCCAAGAACUAGAUCUGUCUGCUGAUGUGUGGCUUUCAAAGUGAUGUCAAAGUGUGACCAAGAUCCCAUAGUUAGAGCUGCAGAGCUUGUUGCCAUGGUUUUAAUUUCUGAAGGCUGUUGAUUCACAGCAUGGGGAGGAAAAUAAAUGCUGCAUAGAUUGACUCAUCCUAAAAACAGUCGUAUACUUAGAGAAGACACAGUGUGUGUGUGUGUGUGUGUGUGUGUGUGUGUGUGUGUGUGUGUGUGUGUGUGUGUGUGUGUGUGUGUUUUGGUGUGUGUGCACUGCGAACAAUCAUCCCUUGGGGCAGCUACCAGCAACGGUUCGAAUAAUUGCCGAGAAAACAGUAGAAACACCCUUGAUAACCCUCUCUUUUCUUCAUCACCUCUUAUCUCUCAACCAGUUGCACCCACAUGAUUUAAAAAAUCUUCCAUUUCUGGAGUGGUUUGUCCUUUCACUGCAACAACUUUGUUACCACCUUUGACUGCAGCCUGCAUAUAAGUCAGAAGGUAGACUGUAAUCAGCUGGCAACACAUUAAGUGGUGUGUUUUCAGACUGAAAGAGGUGGGAAAGGAUUCACUGUAGACACAGGUUUGUUUAGAUUUUUCUCUUUGUUCUUAUUUUAAACUCUUGGUCGUUCUCUGAUCCCCUUACAGUUUAACACUAAGCCAUGUAUUUAUUUUAAGACUUUUUUUUUUACUUUUAUGUAAUUUUUUUAAAUGUUUUAUUCAUAAGACACUUUGUUUUAUUCCACCAAAUAAUAUUCUAGAAGUGUAUGCUGACUUGUAUUUAAUAUUUGCAAUAUGUUUGUCUGUUGUGAUUAAAUGAAGAAAAAAAAGAGCUAAUAUAUGUGGAUCUGCAAUCUUCUAAGUCAAAGUUUGAUCUUUUUUUUUUAUCAGAUGGAUGUUUGUGCUAAAUUUUGAAAAACAUGAAAGUGCACUUUUAGAGAAAAAGAUUUUUCUUGAUAGAUAAAA